rnacentral:rRNA from 1 species
UACGUAGGGUGUAAGCGUUAAUCGGAAUUACUGGGCGUAAAGCGUGCGCAGGCGGUUAUGCAAGACAGAUGUGAAAUCCCCGGGCUCAACCUGGGAACUGCAUUUGUGACUGCAUAGCUAGAGUACGGUAGAGGGGGAUGGAAUUCCGCGUGUAGCAGUGAAAUGCGUAGAUAUGUGGAGGAAUACCGAUGGCGAAGGCAGCCCCCUGGGUCGACACUGACGCUCAUGCACGAAAGUGUGGGGAGCAAACAGG